CAGCCGCCGCGGGAAAACGGAGGGGGCUAGCGUUGUUCGGAAUUACUGGGCGUAAAGCGUACGUAGGCGGCUUUGUAAGUUAGAGGUGAAAGCCUGGUGCUCAACACCAGAACUGCCUUUAAGACUGCAUCGCUUGAACGUCGGAGAGGUGAGUGGAAUUCCGAGUGUAGAGGUGAAAUUCGUAGAUAUUCGGAAGAACACCAGUGGCGAAGGCGGCUCACUGGACGACUGUUGACGCUGAGGUACGAAAGCGUGGGGAGCAAACAGGAUUAGAUACCCCUGUAGUCCCUGUCUCUUAUAC
rnacentral:rRNA from 1 species